AGUGAACGCUGGCGGUAGGCCUAACACAUGCAAGUCGAACGGCAGCACAGUAAGAGCUUGCUCUUACGGGUGGCGAGUGGCGGACGGGUGAGGAAUACAUCGGAAUCUACUUUUUCGUGGGGGAUAACGUAGGGAAACUUACGCUAAUACCGCAUACGACCUACGGGUGAAAGCAGGGGAUCUUCGGACCUUGCGCGAUUGAAUGAGCCGAUGUCGGAUUAGCUAGGUGGCGGGGUAAAGGCCCACCAAGGCGACGAUCCGUAGCUGGUCUGAGAGGAUGAUCAGACACACUGGAACUGAGACACGGUCCAGACUCCUACGGGAGGCAGCAGUGGGGAAUAUUGGACAAUGGGCGCAAGCCUGAUCCAGCCAUACCGCGUGGGUGAAGAAGGCCUUCGGGUUGUAAAGCCCUUUUGUUGGGAAAGAAAAGCAGCAGGUUAAUACCCCGCUGUUCUGACGGUACCCAAAGAAUAAGCACCGGCUAACUUCGUG
rnacentral:rRNA from 1 species